AGGAAAAAAAGAAUAAAUAAAAAUAAAAAUUCUGAAGUUACAUCUCCGUCCAGUUGAUUGCGGUAAUGCACAAAGUGUGUAAACUGCCAUAAAAUCCAAUAGAAGUAGAAGAAAAAGAAGAAGAAGAAGAAGAAGCACUUUUGCCGCGUGCUGGAGGAGAAAAUCACCUGCGUCAGGUGUGCAGGAGGAGACACACCUAAAAUAAGAAGGAGCAGCAAGAAGCCAACAGAAAUGUCUGGAGUUUGAUUCAAGUUAGCGGUUUGCACAGAGGAGCUCCCAUCGCCAGCUAACCUGGACCGCUCUGUGGCAGCGGAUACAACCAGAGAAAAUGGCAGGAACACCAGGAGAGGUCAAAUCAAUACUUUCAGUACAUUGGAGGAGGAGAAAAGGAAGCGGUGGUCAGCCUGGCAUCAUGAUGAGCUCAGCCUGGAUGAUGAUGGCGGAUGACUGCAGGUGAACGUGCAACUCAUCAGUUUCCAUUCGAGAAGUGAGCCGAGCUCAUCUGUGACAAAGCUUCAGCUUUUGCAGAAAGACGAUCUCUUUGGGGGAAAAAAAAGAGAGAAAAUCUCUGGAAUCAGUAAGUCUAAACGUGAGCAUCA